UACGUAGGGUGCAAGCGUUAAUCGGAAUUACUGGGCGUAAAGCGUGCGCAGGCGGUUUUGUAAGUCUGUCGUGAAAUCCCCGGGCUUAACCUGGGAAUGACGAUGGAGACUGCAAGGCUAGAGUUUGGCAGAGGGGGGUAGAAUUCCACGUGUAGCAGUGAAAUGCGUAGAGAUGUGGAGGAACACCGAUGGCGAAGGCAGCCCCCUGGGUCAAAACUGACGCUCAUGCACGAAAGCGUGGGGAGCAAACAGG
rnacentral:rRNA from 1 species